UACGUAGGGGGCAAGCGUUGUCCGGAUUUAUUGGGCGUAAAGAGCUCGUAGGUGGUUCGGUAAGUCGGAUGUGAAAUCUCCAGGCUCAACCUGGAGGGGUCAUUCGAUACUGCCGUGACUAGAGUUCGGUAGGGGAGUGUGGAAUUCCCGGUGUAGCGGUGAAAUGCGCAGAUAUCGGGAGGAACACCAAUGGCGAAGGCAGCUUGCUGGGACGGUACUGACACUGAGAGACGAAAGCUAGGGGAGCGAAUGGG
rnacentral:rRNA from 1 species